AAGGGACCAAGGAAAAGCUUUGUUCCUACCCCAUCUUUCAUGUACCCACUUCUUACCCUCCACUCCCCAUAGGUAACUACCUCUUUCAUUUAUUUUUUUGAAUAUCUUUUCAGAGUUUCUUUAAAUAAUAUAAGCAACUUUAAGUAUAUACUCUUAUUCCCCCACAACUUUUAUAACACAAGGUAACACUCUAUACAUACUUUUAUGUCUUGAGUUUCUCACUAAAAAUAUCUUAGAUGAGGAUAAUGUCUGUCCUACCUGCCAGGUUCACAGGAUCAUUUCAGAAUCAACUUGAGGAUACAAAAAUUCUGAACUGAUUUACAAAGGCUCGGGAUCAUUAUGCAUAAGCGCACUCUGCAGUUGAGCUGACGGAAGCCCUGUAGAUCUGUCUCACCUAUUCUCUUUGCUCUCUCUGCAGUUAAUCAGGAUGUGCUCUCAUGGAGAAGGCAAGAUUAACUACUAUAACUUUGUUCGUGCUUUCUCAAACUGACCUGCUGAUGAGAAAAUGCAAGACAAUUUUUGAUAUUGGAACUGUGCUUUGAAAUACACCUUACACUCUUCAUAGAGGCAUUUACAGAGUUCCUGAAGUUUUAUUUCUGUUUUGGUUCUUAUUUCACUCCUACUGAAGUCGAAACUAAAUUGGAUCUAAUAGGAUCUAAGAUUGGUGCCUUAUUUAGGGUGAUAGGGGUAUAGCAGUGUCUAAUUUUGUGUGUCAAAUUGACUUGGCCACAGGGGGCCCAAAUAUUUCCUUUCUUUCUUUUUUAAAAAAUAUUUUAAAUUUUUUUAGAGAUGGGAUCUCACUGUCAUACAGGCUGGAGUGUGGUGGCACUAUCCUAGUUCUAUGAAGCCUCAGACUUCUGGGCUCAAGUGAUCCUCCCACUUCAACCUCCCCAGUAGCUGGGACAACAGGCUCAAGCCACCAUGCCCAGCUAAUUUUUAAAAUUAUUUUGUAGAGACAAGGUCUCGCUAUGUUGCCUGAACUUGUCUCAAACUCAUGAGCUCCAGAAAUUCUCCCACCUCAGCCUCCAAAAUUGCUGGGAUUAUAGGCAUGAGCCACUGUGCCCAGCCUCAGAUAUUUCAUUAUUCUGGGGGUUUCUCUGAAGGUAUUUUUGGAUGAGAUAAACAUUUGAAUCAGAAGACUAAGUAAAACAGAUAGUCCUCCCUAAUGUGGGUGGGCCUCCUCCAAUCAUUUGAAGACAUGAGUAGAAUAAAAAGGCUGACCUUUCCCCAGGUAAGAGAAUUCCUCCUGCCUGACUGGCUUCAAAUUGGAACAUCAGCCUUUUCUUGCCUUCAGA
rnacentral:lncRNA from 1 species